rnacentral:lncRNA from 1 species
UGGGUCAAUCUAUGGGGCUGACAUCCCUCUAUGGGUCAAUCUAUGGGUCUGAUCUCCAUCUAUGGGUCAAUCUAUGGGUCUGAUGUCCCUCUAUGGGUCUUUCUAUGGGUCAAUCUAUGGGUCCAUCUAUGGGUCCGAGGCCCCCCUAUGGGUCCCUCUAUGGGUCAAUCUAUGGGUCCAUCUAUGGGUCCGAGGCCCCCCUACAGGUCCCUCUAUGGGUCAAUCUCUGGGUCUGACGUCCCUCUAUGGGUCAAUCUAUGGGUCAAUCUAUGGGUCUGACGUCCCUCUAUGGGUCAAUCUAUGGGUCUGAUCUCCAUCUAUGGGUCAAUCUAUGGGUCUGAUCUCCAUCUAUGGGUCAAUCUCUGGGCCUGAUGUCCCUCUAUGGGUCAAUCUAUGGGUCAAUCUAUGGGUCCGAGGCCCCCCUACGGGUCCCUCCAUGCCU